rnacentral:rRNA from 1 species
UACGUAGGGUGCGAGCGUUGUCCGGAAUUAUUGGGCGUAAAGAGCUCGUAGGCGGUCUGUCGCGUCUGCUGUGAAAACUCGGGGCUUAACCCCGAGCCUGCAGUGGAUACGGGCAGACUAGAGGUAGGUAGGGGAGAAUGGAAUUCCCGGUGUAGCGGUGAAAUGCGUAGAGCUCGGGAAGAACAUCGGUGGCGAAAGCGCUCUGCUGGACUGCAACUGACACUCAGGGACGAAAGCUAGGGGAGCGAAUGGG